rnacentral:rRNA from 1 species
UACGAAGGGUGCAAACGUUGCUCGGAAUUACUGGGCGUAAAGCGCGUGUAGGCGGCAACGCAAGUCGGAUGUGAAAUCCCAUGGCUCAACCAUGGAAGUGCACCCGAAACUGCGUCGCUAGAGUCCUGGAGAGGAAGGUGGAAUGCUUGGUGUAGAGGUGAAAUUCGUAGAUAUCAAGCGGAACACCGGUGGCGAAGGCGGCCUUCUGGACAGUGACUGACGCUGAGACGCGAAAGCGUGGGGAGCAAACAGG